UACGUAGGGUGCGAGCGUUAAUCGGAAUUACUGGGCGUAAAGUGUGCGCAGGCGGCACCGCAAGUCGAGUGUGAAAGCCCCGGGCUUAACUUGGGAAUUGCGCUCGAAACUAUGGUGCUGGAGUGUGGCAGAGGGAUGCAGAAUUCCAGGUGUAGCGGUGAAAUGCGUAGAUAUCUGGAGGAACACCGGUGGCGAAGGCGGCAUCCUGGACCGGCAUUGACGCUGAGGAGCGAAAGCCAGGGGAGCAAACGGG
rnacentral:rRNA from 1 species